rnacentral:rRNA from 1 species
UACAGAGGUCUCAAGCGUUGUUCGGGAUUCAUUGGGCGUAAAGGGUGCGUAGGCGGCGCGGUAAGUCGGGUGUGAAAUCUCGGAGCUUAACUCCGAAACUGCAUUCGAUACUGCCUGUGCUUGAGGACUGGAGAGGAGACUGGAAUUUACGGUGAGCGGUGAAAUGCGUAGAUAUCGAUAAGGAAGACCGUGGGCGAAGGCGG